rnacentral:rRNA from 1 species
CUAGCAUAUCAAUAAGCGGAGGAAAAGAAACUAACAUGGAUUCCCCCUAGUAUCUGCGAGUGAACCGGGAAAAGCUCAAAUUUUGAAUCCGGCGGUCUCCGUCCGCCCGAGUUGUAAUCUAGAGAAGCGUCUUCCGCGCUGGACCGUGUACAAGUCUCCUGGAAGGGAGCAUCGUAGAGGGUGACAAUCCCGUCUCCGACACGGACUACCAGGGCUAUGUGAUGCGCUCUCGACGAGUCGAGUUGUUUGGGAAUGCAGCUCAAAUCGGGUGGUAAACUCCAUCUAAAGCUAAAUACAGGCGAGAGACCGAUAGCGAACAAGUACCGUGAGGGAAAGAUGAAAAGAACUUUGGAAAGAGAGUUAAACAGUACGUGAAAUUGCUGGAAGGGAAACGCUUGAAGUCAGUCGCGUCGGCCGGGGAUCAACCCUGCUCCAUGCUGGGCGUAUUUCCCGGUCCGACGGGUCAGCAUCGAUUUCGAUCGUCGUACAAGGGCGGUAGCGAACGUGGCACUCUUCGGAGUGUGUUAUAGCCUUCCGUAUGCUAUGCGACGGUCGGGAUCGAGGAACUCGGCACGACCCCUCGAGGGUUCGGGGCUUUCAAAGCCCACGCAGCGUGUCUAGGAUGUUGGCAUAAUGUCUUUAAGCGACCCGUCUUGAAACACGGACCAAGGAGUCUAACAUGCCUGCGAGUGUUCGGGCGGAAAACCCGAGCGCGAAAUGAAAGUGAAAGUCGAGACCCCUGUCGCGGGGGGCACCGACGCCCGGACCUGAGCCUUUGGCGACGGAUCUGCGGUAGAGCAUGUAUGUUGGGACCCGAAAGAUGGUGAACUAUGCCUGAAUAGGGCGAAGCCAGAGGAAACUCUGGUGGAGGCUCGUAGCGAUUCUGACGUGCAAAUCGAUCGUCGAAUUUGGGUAUAGGGGGCGGAAAGACUAAUCGAACCAUCUAGUAGCUGAUCCCGCGAGCUCUCCUCCCGCGG